UGGGUGGAUCAGUGGCGAACGGGUGAGUAACACGUGAGCAAUCUGCCCCUGACUCUGGGAUAAGCGCUGGAAACGGCGUCUAAUACUGGAUACGAACAGCGACCGCAUGGUCAGUUGUUGGAAAGAAUUUCGGUCAGGGAUGAGCUCGCGGCCUAUCAGCUUGUUGGUGAGGUAAUGGCUCACCAAGGCGUCGACGGGUAGCCGGCCUGGGAGGGUGACCGGCCACACUGGGACUGAGACACGGCCCAGACUCCUACGGGAGGCAGCAGUGGGGAAUAUUGCACAAUGGGCGCAAGCCUGAUGCAGCAACGCCGCGUGAGGGACGACGGCCUUCGGGUUGUAAACCUCUUUUAGCAGGGAAGAAGCGAAAGUGACGGUACCUGCAGAAAAAGCGCCGGCUAACUACGUGCCAGCAGCCGCGGUAAUACGUAGGGCGCAAGCGUUAUCCGGAAUUAUUGGGCGUAAAGAGCUCGUAGGCGGUUUGUCGCGUCUGCUGUGAAAUCCCGAGGCUCAACCUCGGGUCUGCAGUGGGUACGGGCAGACUAGAGUGCGGUAGGGGAGAUUGGAAUUCCUGGUGUAGCGGUGGAAUGCGCAGAUAUCAGGAGGAACACCGAUGGCGAAGGCAGAUCUCUGGGCCGUAACUGACGCUGAGGAGCGAAAGGGUGGGGAGCAAACAGGCUUAGAUAACCUGGUAGUCCACCCCGUAAACGUUGGGAACUAGUUGUGGGGUCCAUUCCACGGAUUCCGUGACGCAGCUAACGCAUUAA
rnacentral:rRNA from 1 species